CACUGUCGAACUCGUAGGCACCAGCUCACUGGGGGCAGUUCAAGGGGCCGCCCAUUCUCGGCUGAAAUCCCUGGUCACCGGCGCCAUCAACCAACCUCGAGCUCUCACCGCCAUUGCCCUCAUGCUCCAGCCCGGCCUCAUUGCUGUUCUCGAAUCUGGGCCCGGAAGGGAAGAGUGGUCGCAUAUACAGAAGCCAAGAAGGUGACAUUUGACAUUUGAGAAUAUUGGCAAGUUCUUCGUGAGCUUUGAACCGGGGCCUGUUAUGGAUACCCUCAACGAGUUGUUUGAGGGGUUGCUUCAAGGUUUUAGAGCUCAUCCUCUCAACUUCCCUGGAACAGCUUUACCACCAUGCUCUACAGUGUCGCAGGAAAGCUGAGGCAAUCUUUUGGGGAGGAGCUGGAGAGGCGGAAGAACAGCAGCCUGGAUGGAUCCGAGAACUGAAAUGACCUCAUGGAAGGGUUGAUGCAGUUAACGGACGAAGAAGGGAAGCGAUUAAGCGACAAGGAAGUGGUUGACAACAUUGUUAGCCUUGUUAUUGCAGGAUAUAUGUCCACUUCCUUUGCAAUGAUGUGGGCAUUGUACUAUCUUGCCAAGGACCCGAAUGUUCUUCAAAAGCUUAGGGAAGAGAACAUACACAUCAGCCAGGAGAAGAAUGAUAAGCUUAUUACAAGUGAUGAUAUUUCAAACAUGAAGGAUACAAAUAAGGUGUAUUCUGUUUGGUUAUUGAGAAUCGUUUUCUUUUCUCUUUGCUGAAGCAGAGAAACCAGGUUAUCAACUCUUUUGAUAUGCAGGUGGUAGAAGAAACCACAUAAGAUCAUGGCCAACAUUGCUCAAUUUCUUUUCAUAACUGUUACAAGAAAUGUUGAUUACAAAGGUUAAAAUUCCCAAAGGAUGGAAAGUAAUCCUUUGGACUUGAUAUCUCCACACCGAUCCAGGAAACUUUGCUGAUCCUAUGUGCUUUAACCGGGACAGAUGAGAUGCACCAGCAAGGGCUGGAACACACCUUGUGUUUGGUGGGGGACUGAGAUUGUGUGCAGGAAACAUGCUGGCUAAGCUACAAUUGUCGCCAUUUUUCUUCAUCACUUGGCUGUAGGUUACAAGUGGGAACUGGUGAAUCCCAAUGCCAAAAUGACUUAUCUUGCUCAUCCAAAACCGGUUGAUGGAGUUGAGAUUACCUUUGGGAGAACUGACAAAGCAAAGUGAAGCAAACCCAUAUAGGUGUAAUUGUUUUCUGGGUGCUUAGUAUAUUUGUGCUUGCUUUGAUCUGUUUCUGUAUGCUUCUUGUGGGGUUGAUGAGAUGUGAAUGCUUGUUACUAAAACUAAGCUAAUGACUGAGCAAUUGCCAACAUCAACUUUUCCACUACCCAGAGUAAUUUGAACAUUUACUUAGUCCGUAUAUAUCAUGGAUGACAUCGGAGAUCCUGCUCAGUUGACACGUAAUAGGCCACCCUCGGCCUUGGGAGUAACGCCCUAUAAGCCAGAUAACCUUCAUGUCAUGUUACCAAAAUUUAAACCAAGUCAACUACCCUCCAAGUCUCGUAUGAAGUCAUGAAGAAAUGGAAUUAUUCUCUCUUGGAGCCAGCCUUGUCGGCUGGCGGAAACCAGACGAGAGAAUAAUCUCUUAAGGAAUCUUUCACCCCACUAUAUAUAUAUAUACACAAAGCGCCGGAAAUGCAUAUGCCCGACGAUGGACAGAGAUUCAGAUAUGCAAGUCUGGGUGGUGGUGUGGAUUGCCGGAGCUCUGCCGCUGGUAGGGUGGCUGCUGUGGCGGUUGAACGACGUCUGGUACUCCCGCCUCUGCCUUAGCGCCGCCAAGCUCCCUCCUGGCCACAUGGGCCUUCCUUUCUUUGGCGAGAUGCCGACCUUCCUCUGGUACUUCAAGGCUCUUCGCCGCCCCGAUGACUUCAUCAACGCCAAGCGCCGCAAGUAUGGUGAUGGAGUUGGAAUGUACAGAAGCCACCUGUUCGGAUCUCCAGCGAUAAUAGCAUGCUCGCCGUCGGCCAACAAGUUUGUCCUGCAAUCAAGCAGUGAUUUCAUCAUUUACUGGCCCUCUGUUGAGCUCGUAGGCACCCGCUCCCUGGGUGCAGUGGAAGGGGCAGCCCAUUGGAGGGUGAGAUCCCUGGUUUCCACCGCCAUCAACCAACCUCGAGCUCUCAGCAUCAUCUCUCUCACGGUCCAGCCCCGCCUCCUCGCUGUUCUCAAAUCCUGGGCUCAGAAGGGGAGAAUCGUAGGUUACACAGAAGCUAAGAAGAUGACGUUUGAGAAUGUUGCCAAGCUCUUCGCAAGCUUUGAACCAGGGCCUCUUGUGGAUACCCUUGACGAGUUGCUUGUGGGGUUGAUUAGAGGUCUUAGAGCUUAUCCUUUCUACUUUCCUGGAACAGCUUACCACCAUGCUUUUCGGUGUCGCAAGAAAGCUGAGGCAAUAUUUUGGGAAGAGCUCGAAAGGCGGAAGAAGAGCAGGGUGGAUGGAUCAAAGAACAAAAAUGACCUAAUGGAAGAGUUGAUGAAGUUAAAGAAUGAAGAAGGGAAGCCAUUAAUGGACAUGGAAGUGAUUGAUAACAUUAUUACCCUUCUUGUUGGAGGAUAUUUCUCCACUUCCCUUGCAAUGAUGUGGGCAUUGUAUUAUCUCGCCGAGUACCCCGAUGUUCUCCAAAAGCUUAGGGAGGAGAACAUGCAGAUCAGCCAGGAGAAGAAUGACGAGUUUAUUACAAGUGAUGAUAUUUCAAAAAUGAAGUAUACAAAUAAGGUGGUAGAAGAAACACUAAGAAUGGCCAACAUUUCUCAAUUCCUUGUCAGAACUGCUACCAGAGAUGUUGAUUACAAAGGUUACAGAAUUCCCAAAGGAUGGAAAAUAAUCGUUUGGAAUCGAUAUCUCCACACCGAUCCAGAAAACUACGAUGAUCCAAUGCGGUUCAAUCCAGAUCGAUGGGAUGCACCAGCAAAGCCAGGAACACACAUGGUAUUCGGUUGGGGAUCGCGAUUGUGUGCAGGAAACAUGCUGGCUAAGCUACAAGUCGCCAUUUUUAUCCAUCACUUGGCUGUAGGUUACAAGUGGGAACUGGUCAAUCCCAAUGCCCAAAUGACCUAUCUCCCUCAUCCAAAACCGGCUGAUGGAGUUGAGAUUACCUUCAGCAGACUUGGCAAAGCUUAAGUGAAAAGCAAGCAACCAUAUGUUUUGGGCCUUUUGGCAAAGUGAUCCAUCACUACUUGUUGAUUAGUGUAUUGGGCUUCCUUUUAGUUCUGUAUACUCCAAAUAACAUUGCUUCUAAGAGUGAAUAACAUUUUGGUUAAAUCGAAUCAGUCAAAAUUAACAGUUUAGUUCAAUCUAUAUUUCGGUUUGUUUAAUUUUCAAAUUCGAGUGUUUCGACUCUUUCGAUCUAGAUUUAAUUCGGUGUCCGCAUUAAAAAAAUAAAAAUAACUGAUUAAAAUAUAGAAAAUAAUGCUUUUUUUAUCAAUUUUUUUUAUUUUUCUAAUUUUUUGAUUUAUGCAAUUUUAACAUCUAUUCGAUUAGUUUGAUUCCGUUUAAUUUUUUUUUAAAACAAAAUUAAUGUAUUCAGUUUGAACAAUUCAAUCGAUUUGAGUGUCGGCCAGCGGCGGUGGUUUCCGACCACUGUCGUCGGAGGCUGCCAAGCCACGGCCAUCUUGCUGUUUGGGGCUAGGGUUCAUGGCGAAAAAGAAGAAGAAGCCGACGCAGAAGAAGCAAAAGAAGAAAACGACGCAGAGGAAGCAGAAGAAGUAAAAGAAGAAGCAAGAUCGCACAUGGCAUCCGAGAAGAAAAGACCGAACCGAGGGAGAGCAAAGGGGAUUCGAAGCCACGGACCAAGAUACCAUCAAUCUUGGCCAUGGCGCAACCCCACACAGAAUCAAAAUCAAUGGAAUGACGGCACAGGGCUACGUUCUUACCUGCGAUUUCCGGCCACCCACAGCACUGAGAAGAAGAAGGAGAGAGAGAGAGAGAGAGAGAGAGAGAGAGAGAGAGAACAGAAGAUAGCGCAAGAGAAAGAUCGAGAAGAGGGAGUCGGUUGCUGAAUAAAUCUUGCAAGAGGGGAAGACGUUGCUGCCAUGGAAGGAAAGGUGCGAGAUUUCCGAUUCGUGAAUGGGGGAUGAGAAGGGGGAAGCUUGAUCCACGCCUCUAAGGAAGGAAUCGCCGGCUGUUGCAGAGAAGAGGAAGGGAGCUUGGAGCCCUAGGGCUCCCUUUGCACAUGGGCUCGGCUCCUCUUGGCCUUCUCGAUGAUAAGGCCCAGAUUGGGCCUUAUAUCCUAUGUGCUUUAACCCGGACAGAUGGGAUGUAAAUCAAUCUGAAAGACCAAAUGAACAAAAAAGAAGUUGUGAUCGAUGAAUGUUACAUAUUCUACUUCCUCAGGCACCAACAAAGGCUAGAACACACCUUGUGUUUGGUGGGGGACUGAGAUUGUGUGCAGGAAACAUGGUGGCUAAGCUACAAGUCGUCAUUUUUCUUCAUCACUUGGCUGUAGGUUACAAGUGGGAACUGGUCAAUCCCAAUGCCCAAAUGACCUAUCUCCCUCAUCCAAAACCGGCUGAUGGAGUUGAGAUUACCUUCAGCAGACUUGGCAAAGCUUAAGUGAAAAGCAAGCAACCAUAUGUUUUGGGCCUUUUGGCAAAGUGAUCCAUCACUACUUGUUGAUUAGUAUAUUGGUCUUCCUUUUGGUUCUGUAUGCUCCAAAUAACAUUGCUUCUAAGAGUGAAUAACGUUUUGGUUAAAUGGAACCAGUCAAAA